CUGGUGGACUCUUUGUGGCUAACUUUUGUAAACCUGCAGAUUGCCAAAGAAGCAAAAGGGAAGCAAAGCAAGCUGGGAAGAAGGCUUGAGACAGAUAGCUUCCGAGGGCCCAAAACAUGGCGAAAAGUCACGGAACAAGUGGAUUGUGUAGGCACGUCACUUCUGCCCCCAUAAUGAGCUACUUAAACCCUGAGAGAUGCAGCAUGACAACCAUACGAAUAUUAUUUUUUUCUCUCUGGGACUGCUGGUGUGUCUUAAAAGCCUAAAUGGUACACAUGCUGUAUGGGGAGGGCUGUGUUUGGGAGUUUUGUGAGGUCUCAUGUAGAAGAAGCAGAGGGAGCUGACAGGCAUGGCGACCUUGCCUCCUCACGUUAGCCUACAUAUGUAGGAAAUCAUGAGAAAUGGGCUACAAAGCACUGACGCCACGGCGUGAACCAAGCCUUGACAAUAGUAGUAAUGCUGCUCGUCGAUAAUUUUGGAUUGGUGGUGGCGUGAGGCCUGUUUUGGUGAGUACACAGGGUGGCAGAUACAGAUUAUUGGCAAUUGAUUAAUCUGCCAACUAGUCCCUUUAUUCUGUAACACAUCAGGAAGCAGUGAAACAUGGCCAUUACUAUUUCCCAAGGUGCUGCACAUCGCCUUCUGUGGAGACUGCCAUGUUGAAUCGCCAUGUUUCUACAGUAGCCCAGUGCUACAUAAGGGCGUUGGUGUUUUUUGUGCGUAUCACGGCCACCAUAUUGUCUCCUUCACACUUGGAAGAGGAGGGUAAAGAGAGGGAGUUGCGAUCUGCAGCUAUACCUUUAGACCCCACUAAAUCCUACACACUGGUCCUUUAAGGUCUCUGACAUAAUCACAGCAGCCUGUUGGAGAAACAGUUUUACUUGAUGGUGUCUAGUGUAAGGAGAAGGAAUAGUAGAAGCAAGAAUUUGUCAUUUUUUUCAAUAGAAACCCUGUUUAUGGUGGUGAGGCUUUUUUACGUAAGAGGAUCUUAUGACCAGCUGAUUCUCAAUGAAGGAUUUCCAGGUCCAAGUGUCGACUGAGGCCAGACUGAAAAGUCACUGCCUGCCAGGAGCUCUUUAAGGGGGAAAUGUAAGGCAUGAUUAAAGAUUUUUUUUUUCAUUUUAAUUCACAAUGAAAAGAACCAAAAUGCGCCUUGACUGUCAUUUAUAAACUGCACAAUGGCUGUUUUGAGAGGCUCAAAGGGCCUUUACAUCUGCGGAGUACCUUCAUGCUUUAACUACAUGACAAAUCUCAAUUCAGUGGCAUUCCUCCUCAACACAGCGUUCCUCUUCCAGAGCCUGCAGGUAGACAACAUCUCGUGUAACUUCAAUGGCUUCCUGCAAGAAACAAACAAGACGGAGAGGAAGAGUCCUCAUUAGACGGCCUGUGCUGUAAUGACGAGGCUGCAGAGGCAGGAGAAAGUCACUUUGUUCAAAACUAAAUAAUGAGAUCCAGGCAUUGUUUUUUCUGUAAGUGAAAAAGAACAUUUGACAAUAGAUUUCCAUUUUCUAUACAUGAUACAGACAACCAAAUGUACUUUAUAGUACCCAGGCUGCACAGAUCUGCUUAUAUGCUGCCAUCUUUGUUAUUUAAUAUGAAGAGCUUACUUAAAAAUGUGUGUAAACCCUAUAUUUAUGGUCCACGGCUGUAUUAUUUGAUGGUGUAAUGUGAAUCAAGCUGAUUAUUUACAGGUAAUACUUUCAUUUUUACAUACAGACAUUAUUUGCUUCCCAUAGCAACCAUUUCUUCCUCUUAAUAAACUCCCUAUUUUUUCUCCUCAGAUCACCUCCUCACUGUGUCAGAUGUUAAAACUCAUCCUGUCUGCGGCUCAAAUGUGUCCAUUGCACGGAUUCAAAUGCCUGCCAUGCAUAUUUGCUGCAACAAGGACAGAAACAGGAUGUCUGCUGCUGGACUAAUGAGAUCCAUCAUCAGCGAGCAGACACACAUUGUUAGUGCCUGCAUGUCAUUCCUGUCCAUUUUACCUUUUCUCCCUAUUAUUUAUUCCCCCUGGCCUUCCUCCAUAGUGUGACGUCAGUUUGACAUGCAUUGCUGUGUGACAUGCUGGUCCACUAACAGUCUGAAGAAGAGUCCGAGCUGAAAAUGUAAUUGUAGGAAUGCCAGAGUGCAACAGUAUUUACUGCAUCAAUGAUUUGUUAGUGCGUGCAAUAAGUGCCUGGGUGCAAGUGCUUAUUAGAAAAGCAGAAAAACAGUCACAGCAGUUGACGUCCUCAAAGUGAAAGCUGGCCAGAUGUGAACAGAAAUCAGUGGAGAGUGACAGUGUGUGAGCUUCAUGCAGAUGUGCUCUCGCCACCUGCCAACACCGCGCAAAAACUACUUCUGAUAAGUUCUCUUCUUCUUUAGAGCUACAAAUAGAUGGUUUAAAUCAGCCUAGUUCAUUACAAUGGCUUUAAAGAACAGAUUAAGAUUCUCUCUUCAGCAAUGCUGAGCAAGAUUUAAUAAGUCAGCUCUUAAAUAUUCAUCUUAACCUCAAGAUGUAGCUGUUCUGGAGCUUUCAGUUAUAUCACACCAUCUUCAUAAGCAGGUGGAAGACAACAAGAAGUCCAUAAAGUGCUCAGAAAAAAAUGGCAAAAAAACUACAUUUGAGUGACAAUGGUCAUCUGGUGAAGGAGACCAUGUGAUAUGAUUGAAAGAUCCAUAACGCUUGCUAAAAUAGUUCAUGAGGUAAGUUUGUGUCUCUGUUUCUGAGGUCAAAAAUUAACUUAAUUUCUACUUACAUAGGUUUUUCUGCUAUUUGUUCAACCAUAUGGCCAUGAUAAAGUAAGUAAGUGGACCUUUGAGUUGCGAUUAUUUUUUUUUUCUUUGGUCAAAACUGUGCGUUUCCAGUGUUCUCCUUUAUGUGUUGGCCAUUUAUAAAAACUACAAAGCCCUUUGAGUCUGUAUAAAUAAAACGGACUUAAAAUGUACUACUCAAUUAUUAUUGAACGUCAAUCAAUUCAUUAUUAAUUAUUAACCUCAGCAAUGAUUUGAAACAUUAAAGUGCAUUGAAUUAGAGAUGUUUAAAAAAACUUUAUGGAAACAUUUAAAUAAGCCCCAAGCUUUAUGCUCAAAGUUGAAUAAUUAAAAUAAUACAAAGACAAAUAAAUUAAUCCAUUAAACGUAUUUAUAUGUUGAUUAAACAAGCUCUGCACAAGAACUCACUGCCUCGUCCUCAUAUGGUUUUACUGGCAGUCAAAUUAGAAAGUCAACCAUUCAAUUUGUGAGAUUCAUUCAAUUAACAUAUAUGCAACCAAAACACAGUUGAACAACCGGGGUGAUAAGAAACAGACAGAGCAGUCCCUGGAGAACACACAGAAAACAGGAUCAAUUUGUUACACAUCCAAAAGGUAGCAGAGAGUGAAACUAUGAAAGAAAGGGGAAUGUGUGUGCCACAGGAGCAGCAUCAACGCCCACAGUCAGACUUUUUUCAUACUUUGUUACUUUUUGGAAAUGUCAUAAGCUAAUCAGCUGUAUUCAAAGCUGUUUUUCCAUGAAUGUUAUGGGCCCCCGUCGAGAGCCUGGAUUCCUGAGCACAAACCUGCCUAUUUUGAAAUAAAGAAUAUGAAUUUG